CACACAUCUCCCCGUUUACUCUCACUAGAUUUGCCGGCAGGACACCUCAUUACAAUGCCACUAACUCACUACUACACGUUCAAGCUCAAAGCCACAACCAACUUUCCAGUACAAGGAACAACAAAGCAAACCAAAGAAUCCACGAUCACAACAGGGGGAAAUGGACUGGACUGCCCAAGGGAUUCACCAUUCAGGUAGCUUCAGCAGACAUGAUCUCGAGCUCGGCCCACCACAGCGGCGACACCUUCGGGGUCGCGCCCUCAGGCCCCACCGCCGUGAUCUCCUUCAUCUGCGCCGCCACCUGCGCCAUCCGCGGUCUCUUGCUCGGGUCCGGGUCGAUGCAGGACACAACGCGCGCGCGGUUUCCUCAGGGAAGGAUCCCAGGCUCGAGUCCAUCAGCUCUGCAAGAGGCAUCUUGCAUUCGAAAUAGAUGGACGCCCAGUUUUCAAGUGGCAGGUCUUGCUCGGGGAAGGGGAUUUUUUGUUGAAAAGGACCCCCUCGCCAACACAAUUGACAGAAAAGACUCCCUCUGGAUAAAAUUGACAAAAAAGACCCCCUGGGCCGUGGCGGCAAUCGCGCCGGGCGACACGUGGCACCUGCCGCCACGGCGUGAGGCGGCCAGCCCUGCCGCCACCGGGCCAUGCGGCAGGCCGUGUGCAACAGCUUCUGGCGCUGGGCGAGGAAACGGGAAGUCGAUAUGGGCCAUGCCGCCACCGGGUGGGGCGGCACCACUGUUGCUGCUGCUGGCCACCGGACAGCCUCACACGAGUUCUCCGCAGUCAAUUCGUCUGAUUCCCGCACGUUUCAUCUCGUCUUUUUGCUCUGGCACUGAUUUCCGUGUGUUUCGUAUUUUUACGUGACACUCAGUGAUUGCUACAGACUUGAUUCCCUCUCCGAUGCGUAAUUUGCUCAUGUUCUGCCAGCGCUGUUGCUGCCGCACGCCCAACAGCCAUGCAGUUUUUUUUGAGGGAACAACAGUCGUGCUGUUGCUGCUGCGACUGAUGAGACAGUACGCCUGGCCCGUGGCGGCAUGGCCCACAUACGUCUCUGUUCGGUUUGCAGUGCCAAAAGCCGUUGCACACAGCCUGCCGCCUGGCCCAGUGGCGGCAGGGCUGGCCACCUCACGCCAUGGCGGCAGGUGCCACGUGUCGCCUGGCGCGCCUGCCGCCACGACCCAGGGGGUCUUUUUUGUCACUUUUAUUCGAAGGGGGUCUUUUCUGCCAAUUGCGUUCGCCGGGGGGUCCUUUUCAACAAAAAAUCGGGGAAGGGUGCUCUCCCGGUUAAUAUCUCCAGCAGUAUAAUGCCGUACCGAUGCACGAUGCUCUCCGUGUCCAGCAUGGUGCAGUCGUCGGUGACGGAAUCGGACCAUAGGAUAACACCAUAAUAACAUACAACUAAAAUCAACCAUAGCAUAUCACAAUUAACCCAUAGGACAAAAGAAACUACUCAGACAUAAUAGAGAUGCAACAAAUCAAUGGAUAAUAAUAUAUAGUAUCAAACACCAUGUUCAAGUAGAGAGUAUUACAGGUUGAGGGAGAGUAGUCUGCUGCAUAGAGAGGGAGAAAGAUGAUGAAGACGACAAAGUUGAUGGAGACAAUAGUGGUGACAAUGAUUCCCCUGGCGGCGCUCCGACACCAUCGAGGGAAAGGGGGAGAGAGCCCCUCCCCUCCUUUCUCUUCUUCCUUGGCCACCCCCUAGAUGGGAGAAGGUUUCCCCCUCUAGUCCUUGGCCUCCAUGGCUCCCGGAAGGCGACAGCCCUCCGAAACUGGAUCACUCCUCCUUUGUUUCUCUCUGUUUUCUUCUCUGUUUCAGCACCGUUUCUAAGGCCAAGUGCCUUUUCUUAAAUAUCCCGAGAUCCGUAACUCCAGUCGGACUGAAAUUUUAAGAGAAUUUUCCCAUAAAAUUAGCUUUCUUGCGGCGAAAGAAGAGCUCCAACCGACAUCCACAACCCCCACGCGGGCCCCUCGGAUGGGUGGGGACUAGGGCACGCCUUGAGGCCAUGUGACACCCUUGUGCACCGCCUUACGAUGAUUCCUUCGCCCAAAAAAUUGAUAUUUUCCAUAAAAAUUUCACAAAAAAAAUCAGGUCAUUCCGGCUGCGUGAAUGUUUNNNNNNNNNNNNNNNNNNNNNNNNNNNNNNNNNNNNNNNNNNNNNNNNNNNNNNNNNNNNNNNNNNNNNNNNNNNNNNNNNNNNNNNNNNNNNNNNNNNNNNNNNNNNNNNNNNNNNNNNNNNNNNNNNNNNNNNNNNNNNNNNNNNNNNNNNNNNNNNNNNNNNNNNNNNNNNNNNNNNNNNNNNNNNNNNNNNNNNNNNNNNNNNNNNNNNNNNNNNNNNNNNNNNNUUGCCUUUGGCAUUGGAUUAAUAGGUUAGUCUAAAUAAAAAUAACAUAAAUUAUUGCUAAAAAUAUGUAAAAGUGGUAUGAUAAUAGCACGAAAAAGAAAACUCUAUUAAUGCAUGUUGAUCUCUUAUCAGUUCAGAACAUAUAUUUCCAUUGUCUUUUUUCCCAAUGGAACACGCCUAUUUUUUUUUUAAUGAUGGAACCUGACCAUUUUCUCUUCUUUAGUAGAUGGAAUCCAGCAUUUUCUAGUAACAUGGGGGGAAAACCAAGCAUACAUGCAAGUUUAUCAUACUUUUUUAGAUUACAUGAGACUAUUAUUGACAAUGGGACACAUUACAACCAAGUUGUGUGCAGCUUUAGCAAUGUGAUCUGGAGUGAAGUUCAGUCAGACUCCAACCAUCCCCUGUACAUGUGCAGAGAAAGCUAACAAGUAGGUAAAGGAGUUACAAUCACUCCUGACCUUACACAAGCACUCGACAGGCAAAGAAACAAGUAAACUCUUCAGUUUCACGUAGGAAGCAGAGCAGAGCUCGGAAAUGUCUAGGUUUCUUCUAUUGUUAACUGCGGCGAUGACUGCAGUACCGCCAGUUUCAGUCAUGUCCGGGAUCAGAUCAUGUUGCUUGUUUGUCUCUUAUUAUUAUCUGUUUAGGCCUUCAGGACGUACAUAGCAGCAUAGCGGAGCGAGUGCUUUGAAUUCAGGCGCCUUGUAACUCCGUAUUAUAAAAAGUGAGACGUUUCUUUUUUUGCAGGCAGAAAAAAUAUGAUUCUAACUUUUACUUUUCUUAUUAAAGAAAAUUCCACACAUACAUCAGGUGCUCUAGGUACCUGUAAAAUUUUGUUAUAGAUAAUUUUUAUUUUCCAAGCAUAAAAAUAAAUAAAAAUGAAGCAUAAGCCUCGGCUGGCAAGGGUCGGGAUCUACCGCGCUUCCAUGGCCCUAAGGCCAGAGGAGACGAGACAUGGCGCCAGCGGCAACGGGAGGUGGGAAAACCCUAGCGAACAGGAGCAUUCCUUUCUUUUCCUGGGAAGAUACGCCUUUGCCUAUUGAAUAAAUAUCGGAGGGCGAAGAGCUUCAAAAUAAUUGAAUUUUUUUGUUUCAAAGUUUAGUUUUCUUAAGAAAAAUCCACAUAUACAUCAAUAUGCGCUCCGCAUGCCACUUCAUACCUGUGAAAUUGCACAACAUGUUUUUUUCAUUGUGCUUACAUAAAAAAUAAGCAGAUCCGUGCAUCUAUACCACUAUUUGUCUUUUACGUAGCCGGCAAAUCGCUACAUUUCUUUGUCAAAAUUACACGUACAUGGCGAGCGUCUGCAGGGCCGGCCCUGAGGGGGGGCAGGGGGGCGGCCGCCCUGGCCCCCCAAGCCAAGGGGCCCCCUCUCCAGGUAUAUGUGUGAGCAUUGGUACCCUGAAUUCAGCCAUUGGAGGCGCUCCAACUGUUGUUCUGUGUCUCAACGAAGAAGAAAGACGAUACAUUAUGUUUUAUGCUCUAGCGCAAUGGGCCUUGGGCCUUUAUUUCUUUAUUAGUAUUGCUAUAACGUGAGUUACAUGGUGGUGGGCUGGUUGUCUCAGCGCCUUUUUUAGCACAAAAUAGCGAUCCUGUUUUGGAAGAUUGAAGCGAUCGAUUGAUUUAUACCUUCCUCGUUUCCCUGCGGCGGCCGAAAAGCAGCAUCACACCGAGCCAAACCCUAAAAUAAAUGGCGGUGAUCUACGAACUGCACGCAUGACCAACGAGGCUUCCCGCCUGGGCGCACAUCGUGGUGAUGGCAAAACAGAGGCGCAACACCGUAGGUAAUUUUGUUUUCCCUGCUUUUUAUGGCGUCCAAAUUUAUGUUAUAAAUUACAGUUGAUUGUUUUAUCACUAUAAUUUAGUAUAAAAUUUUCAGGAUCCUUCUCUAGUCCUAAUUUUUUUGGGGCAUAGGCUGAUCGUAAUUGUCAUCUGGCCGAUUGUACAUUUUAUGCGCUAGAAUUUUCUCAUGCCGUCAACUUUUUUGUUUGUUCGUGGAUGGUUAUAGGAGGAUAGGUUAUUGGUGGAUAGACAACUUUUUGCCCACCUAAUAUAUGGAGUUUUACUUGUGUCUGAUUUCACAAGAGGUGUGUGAAAAUCAAAUUUACCUUUCGUCUAAUAUGAAACAUCGUUGCAACUUAUUCCUUGGAGUGAGUAACUUAAGUUUCUCGACAAAUUAAUGAUCCUAUACAUAGCUGUUAAAUGGAAUUUAGGCAUGCUUAUUAUUAUUUCGAUGUUGUAUUAAGGGGCUCCGGGUUCUAGUUUCGCCCCGGGUCCCCGAUAUCUCAGGACCGGCCCUAAGCGUCUGGACAUGCUUAUGGAAAAUAUUUUUUUUCUCAAAAGGUGUUUUUUAUUCUAUUUUCAAUAUAGGCAUGAACAACUCCAGCCAAUCGGUCUCCAUGGACGGGCACUCACAGUAAGUCAGUAACUCAUGUAUGUGCCACAUUUUUGUUUUUUAGCUUAAUGGGGCACAGAUUAUUGUUCUCGAAAGAAAUGCAUGUAUUUGAAUUGAAUCUGGCCCAGUUAUAUGUCGUCCUCCCGCAUUGGGCCGUAUACAAUGGGGGUGGCAGCAUUGGGCCUGCAGGCNNNNNNNNNNNNNNNNNNNNNNNNNNNNNNNNNNNNNNNNNNNNNNNNNNNNNNNNNNNNNNNNNNNNNNNNNNNNNNNNNNNNNNNNNNNNNNNNNNNNNNNNNNNNNNNNNNNNNNNNNNNNNNNNNNNNNNNNNNNNNNNNNNNNNNNNNNNNNNNNNNNNNNNNNNNNNNNNNNNNNNNNNNNNNNNNNNNNNNNNNNNNNNNNNNNNNNNNNNNNNNNNNNNNNNNNNNNNNNNNNNNNNNNNNNNUAGCAGCGCUCCAGUUUAGUCCCACAUCGCUGGCCGUGGGAGAAGCUGUGGCGAGCGAGAGGUAUAAGAGGGCAGCCAGGGCCAGCGGUAGAAUGCACGCAGCUGCGUGGUGACCACAAAGCGAACUAUUCUUUCGCCUUUUACUAAAGAAUACCGUGUGGGCGCCACAAUGAGCAGCAUACGCUAAUUUUUAAAGGGCCCCUUCUCCGUGUGGUAGGGUCCCACAAAUCAAAUCAAAAAUUUAUCUGAGUUUUUGUUUGUAUUUAAACUCAGUGUUUGUCCUCUGCAACUGUGCUGCAGUCCUAGCCUAUAUGCCGUCUCUUGAUAGAGUGAAGCUGUGGUACACUGAGCCGGAGGAAGACCUGCGAUGCUUCAACUAGUGCUUGCUGUUGCAAGCUUUAACCGGCGGCCGCUACGACAAUCGGUGGUCUCUUGCUAUGUGAAGGUACAUCUGACAGCAAUGGAGUACCGUCGAAGCAUCAUCGAUGCUGCAAUAGAGCAUCGCUGGGUCGUUGGUGCACCUGACGCCGCAAGGGAACAUCACCUUGCCGUUGCCGGUGCAGCAAUGGAGCAUCACCGAUGCUUCAAGGAAUUACGUGCCCAAUGGAGCAUCACCGAUGCUUCAAGAAAUAUUACGCACCCAGCACGAGGAAGCGAGGAUUAUGUGUUGGCGGCUGCAAAAGUUGCGGGGAGACAUGGGGCACGUUGAGAUAGGAAAUCAAGUGACCCAGAACAGAUUGUGUUGGCGCAAAUCAACGGCUGACCUUUUCCUAAGUUCAAAGCAGCCUUAUAACAUUGAAUAGUUUUCAAGAAAAAAUGUAGAUAUCAAAUCUGAUAUUGCUAAUUUCACUGAUAUUUUGUUGAGGUUUUUUUGGGACAAAUUUAAUUGAUUAGAUGAUUUUAACUUUCACAGCCCAAGCUUCUGCUUAGCUGGAUUUCUUCGGUAUUAUAGAUGAUCUUGUAUCACAUGGAGAGCGCUCACCAGAUGUUUGCCUCAACAAACCCAUUGCAGACUGCUCACCAAAUGUUCGCCUAAGAAUUGAUCAAAUCAUACGUAAACAUGGCAUAAACCACACAUCUCCUUGUUUACUUUCACUAAAUUUGCAUGUAGGACACCACAUUACAAUGCCACUAACCUACUACAUGUUCAAGCUCAAAGCCACAACCAACUUUUCCGAAUAUAAGGAUCAGUAAAACAAACCAAAGAAUCCAUGAUCACAAAAGGGGAAAUGGACCGCUGAAGGGAUUCACCAUUAGGUAGCUUCAGCAAACAUCAUCUCAAGCUUAGUCCACCACAGCGGCGACACCUUUAGAGUCGCGCCCUCAGGCCCACUGUCGUGAUCUUCUUCAUCUGAGCCGCCACCUCUGCCAUCUGCGGUCUCUUACUCAGAUUCGGGUCGAUGCAGGACCUCCCGUCGACUCCAAAUGGAUGACUAGGUAUAGGGUGUAGGUGCAUUGGGCGGAGGGUAGGAAUGUGAGAGGCUUGUGUUGCUUUCACCAACAGAGAAUUUCGUCCGAAUGAGAUCAUUAGAUGUGUGGUGGCUUUCAGUAGACUUUGUUACCUUAAUCAUUGUUAGGUCGUGUAACUGCAUCUAGUGCCACCCCUAGUUGGUUUUGGAGUAUUGACGACAAACCUGGUUGAGGGACUAAUGUGUUUGUGAGAAUUGCAGGAUAACACAAGUAGUAGUCCCUCAUUGAUUCGGUUUACCUACCGGAGAUGACCCCUAAAAAUGUGUGAAGACAUUGAAGACAAUGGUGGUCUGUGAAGCUAUUCACGUUGAAGACUAUGACAUGAGAAGAGAUCGAGUGAAGACUAUGGAGCGCGAAGACUUAGUUGUUUCAUUGUUUCCUUUUCUUCUUCGUUGAGUCAUAGGAACCACCGCACUGUUAAGUGGGGUCCAAGUGAACAAAGUCAGAGUGACUGACGUGAUGCUCAACCAAAUCCUAUGUCUUCGAGCGAAGACAAUGAGUGCAAAUCUUAUCCAGAGUCAGAUAAGUCAGCUUUACUUGUAGCCCAAGUCAAGCUGCCGCGUGUGUUUGAAAUCUGACCGUUGUGACAUGUGUCAGUUCCUUAGUGACCCAGGGUCAUUUCGGACAAAUUUGGUCGGGUUGCCCAGUGACUAUAAAUAGCCCACCCCUUACACCAUAAAUUGGUGGUUGCUCAGAGUUAGUACACGGCUUUUUUCGUUUGAGGUCAAUCCACCGCCGAAGCUUUCGAGAGAGAAUCCUUGCGAGGAAGUCUUUCUGUCCGCGUGAUUUGAAGACUUGUUACACUUGAGGACUGUGAAUCCUCCAGCCGGUUAGGCGUCGCGUUUUGAGCAUCCAAGAGUCAUUUGUGGAUUGCCGGUGAACAAAGUCUGUGAAGGUUCGGAAGUCUACCUUGAAGACUUACCAGAGUGAUUGGGCGGGGACUAGGUGUCCUUAGCUCAAGGGGAAUAAGGUGAAGACGCGGUCUUCUGAGUUGAAUCUCAGCCUCCCUAACCAGACGUACAGUUUUCACAGCAACUGGAACUGGUCGAACAAAUCCCUGUUCUUCUGAAUCCACUGGUUCUAUCUCUUACUUCUCUCUACUUAACAAUUUGUCUUUGUGAAGUCAUUGCCUGCUUGCAUUAUCUGUUUGACUUCACUGUGUGACUACCUUUUCUGAUUGGCUUCAUACUAUCUUCCAUUCUGAUCUUUACUACCUAGCUACUAUUAGUCUUCGUGCUUUCACUUCAUUGAAUACUUGACUAUGGCUUGUCUAGUGUAGUCUACCUUUCGCUCCAUUCGAAUAGUGUUGUUUCUAUUGUUUGUCUUUGAAACUCCCACGUUUUGAAGACUUUCAUAAAAAUCGCCUAUUCACCCCCCCUCUCGUCGAUAACUAGCCCUUUCAAUUGGUAUCAGAGCAAGGUACUCCCUUGUUCUGUGUGAUUCGGUUUAACCACUUGGAGUUUCAGCUAUGUCGACUGCAGGGAUAAUCAAAGUCUCCGCUGCAUGCCCCAUCUUCGAUGGCACUGAAUAUCCCUACUGGAAGAAUAGGAUGCGCAUGCAUCUUGAAGCCAUUGGUGUCGAUCUAUGGUAUGUCGUCAAGAACGGCGUUCCCAAGACUGGUGAAGGUGUCACCCCUGCUGAUGUCAAGAAGUUUAUUCAACUGGACUCUACCGCCAAGAACAUCAUCUGUGGUCACCUUACCAAAGGACAGUAUGGCCGUGUGAGUGCUCUGAAAACGUCGAAGCUAGUCUGGGACUGGCUAUCCAUAGUCAAUGAAGGCGUCUCAACUCAGCGAGAUCAACGGAUCAGUACUCUUCGCAACCUCUUCAACUGCUUCAAGAUACACGACAACGAGAAUGUCCAGCUCAUGUUUGAUCGCCUCACUGAUAUCACAAAUGAGCUCCAAGCACUCGGCACCACUGAGAUCACGAAGCAUGAGAUAGUGAAGACACUACUGAGAUAUCUUGACAGCUCAUUUGACACCUUAGCCCUGAUGAUACAAGAAUGCCCUGAUUACAAGUCCCUCGAUCCGUCUGACAUACUUGAGAGGCUCAACACACAUGAGUACCAGCUAUCUGAGAAACGAGAUAUCUAUGGCCCCAACUAUGGCCGAACUUGCGCUUUGAAGGCAAAGGCUGUUGCUUCCUCAUCUGAAGAAGAAUCUGACUGCAGUUCUGGUGAUCCUGAAGACAUUGGAAAGGAGCUUGCUAUGCUUGUGAAGAAGUUCCAAAAAUUCACCAAUAAGAAAGGCUUCAGGAAGUCUUCACGAUCCAGCUCAAGGAAUGAUGAAGCUUCUGCCUAUGACCACAAGAAGAGAACCUGUCACAAGUGCAAGAAACCUGGUCACUACAUCUCUGAGUGUCCACACUGGGACAAUGAGAAGAAGAAGAAGAAGAGCAAAUAAUAUGAUUCUGAUAACAACAAGAAGAAGAAAUCCUCAAAGUCUUCUUCCAAGUCUUCUUCCAAGUCUUCAUCACACAAGAAGAGAUCAUCUGGCAAGGCCCGUGCUUUUGUUGGCAAGGAAAUGGAUUCAGAGGAGGAGUCAGUUUCUGAGGAGGUGGAGUCUGAGGAGUCUGACUCUGGUGUUGCGAGUCUGGCUCUAGCUACAGCCUACGUCGCCAAGUCCAUCUUCAACAUCGAAGACAAUGGCUCCAUCACCAACGCUGAUGAUAAUGACAAGGACGACUCGCCUCCCACCUACUGCUUCAUGGCACGUGGUGCCAAGGUAAAAUCACGCGAUGCUUACAUUCAAACAUCAAGUGAAGAUGACUCUGAUGGUGAAUCCAAACCUAGCUAUAAAAUACUUGCUAAAAUUGCAACUAAACAACAGAAAGCUAUGGAACAUACUCAAAAAUUGUUAGAUAAAAGCGAUGACCUGUUGGACGCGAAAAUGACCAAGUCUCAGUCCUUAAUUGAAGAUAUCAAAAAUCUUCAUAUUAAGUACCAGGAACUUAAAGGUCGACAUGAAUCGCUCUCAACUUCUCAUGAAAAGCUUUCCUAUCAUUAUCUUCAAAUGAAGCAGGAACUUGAGAAAUUGAGAUCGAAUCAUCAAGAUCUUCAAAAGGAGAAUGAGUCACUUCGCGCUCAACAGAUCAGUCUCUCCCAGGAAGGAUUUGAACCACCAUACCUAAAAUGCAUUGAGCAUGAUAACGCUGCUUCUGUUGUUGAAUGUUCUACUGCUGCUACUGUUGCAAUAUCUUCAACUGCUGAUGUGGUAACUAACCCCUCUACUGAGGAUACCACUACUAUUGCUGAUGAGAAUGCUAGGUUGAAGACACUGCUUGAGACAGGGAUGUACAAAAGUCUCAAAGGGCAUCGGACAUUAUGUGAUGUCCUCAAAAAGCAGAUUCUGAACUGAAACCCUAGGAAAGAGGGUGUUGGGUUCGAAAGGAAAAUGAAUGUUGAUGGGUCGUACUGGAAGCCUGAGCAGUACCCCAAAACCACAUGGGUUGCUGCAAAGGAACCUUCAGUAGAUCCAUCCACCUUGUCUGGUUUCACUUGUGCUAACCCCGUUAUCAUUGAUGAAUCCUUUGAUGCAAACUAUAAACUGUUUAAGAAUCAGAAUGGUGAAGUGUUUGCCAGGUAUAUUAGUACUAACUGCAGGAAUGGGCCACCUAUGAAGAAGAUAUGGGUUCCCAAAAGUUGUCUUGAGAAUCAUCUAGUGAAUGUCAUCAUGACACCACCUGUGAAGAAGACAAAUCCCAUACCAAAGGCUUCAUAUGGUCCAAAAGCUUCAUACAGACCGAGGACUCAUCCGAGUCACCCUAACGUCAAUGUUUUGGAGGGAAAUCAUACUCAAACCCAUGAAUAUGAGUGUGUUUCCUCAAACUGCUAUGUUCAUAGAACAAAGAACUUUUCUGCUUAUUCCUAUGAGUAUUAUUCCCCUCCUGCAAGGCUAUUUACUAGGGCUCCAAAGCCGAAAUUCUCAGAUGUUGCACUUAGACUCAUUGCUUCUAAGCCACCCCUGAAAAUGUGGGUGGUUAAGAAAACUCAACUCUCUUUUGCAGGGAAAGGUCUCCAGCCGGAAAUCAAAGGCGUCCAAAACUAAUGCUGGGGACCUUAAACAUCUUGUAGGGCGCAAGAUAAAAUGCCCAAAUGGUCUUACUAUGUACUUUGUUCCAGGAUUCCUUGACACUCAUCCUAUCUAUCCUAACCAAGAUCUGAAUUUUCAUGUUCCACUUGUUCGUCAAAUGUUUAUGCUUCACAACUCGCUUGGUGAAGCCUAUCCCCCAAACUGCACUGUAGGCUAUGACACCUCGUACUUCAGAAUGUAUUAUGGACAGUGGAUGCACUAACCACAUGAUUGGCGGUCGAAGUCUUCUGAUGGAUUCAACGCUAUGUCCAUCAGACAAGAGUCACAUCACAUUUGCUAACACUGGUAAAAGCAAGGUAUUGGGUCUAGGCAGAGUUGCAAUAUCAAGGGCACAUGGAUAAAGUGAUUCUUGUUGAAUCCCUUGGUUUCAACUUAAUGUCUGUCUCAAUGCUUUGUGACUUAAACAUGAUUGUGCUAUUUGGAAAAUAGCAAUGCCUUGUACUAAUGGUAUCUGACAAGUCUCUAGUCUUUGAAGGGUAUCGGAAAGAUGAUCUAUAUAUGGUAGAUUUCUCAGCAGGACCACAGAUGGCCGUAUGUCUUCUAGCAAAGGCUUCAGAAUGCUGGCUUUGGCAUCGAAGGCUAGGACAUGCUGGCAUGAAGAACUUGCACACUCUCGCGAAGAAGAAGCAUGUCGUGGGCAUCGAAGGCGUCAAGUUCAAGAAGGACCAUCUGUGUGGCGCCUGCGAAGCUGGAAAGAUGACCAGGGCCAAGCAUCCCUUGAAGACAAUCAUGACUACAUCUCAACCCUUCGAGCUGCUCCACAUGGACUUAUUCGGCCCUACUCACUACUCUACUCUCACUGCUACUGCUUGCCUCUAUGGAUUUGUCACUAUUGAUGAUUACUCUAGAUAUAAUUGGGUGCAUAUAAUUCUCUACAAGACUGAAGUGCAGGAUGUCUUCAGACACUUUGCCAAUCGUGCCAUGACAAACUAUGUCGUCAAGAUCAAGCACAUCAGAAGCGACAACGGCAUUGAGUUCAAGAACACUGGCCUCGACCUCUAUCUGGAUACAAUGGGUAUCACUCAUGAGUUCUCUACUCCUUAUACACCUCAGCAGAAUGGCAUCGCAGAGCACAAGAACAGAACUCUCAUUGAGAUGGCCCGAAUGAUGCUUGAUGAGUACAAGACUCCACGAAAGUUCUGGUCUGAAGCCAUUGAUACCGCUUGCCACAUCAUCAACCGUGUCUAUCUUCACAAGCUUCUGAAGAAAACAUCCUAUGAACUCCUAACUGGUAAGAAGCCAAAUGUAAGCUACUUCAGAGUAUUUGGUGCUAGGUGCUGGAUCAAGGAUCCACAUCACACGUCAAAAUUUGCACCGAAAGCACAUGAAGGUUUUAUGCUUGGUUAUGGAAAGGAUUCGCACUCCUACAGAGUCUCUUUCACUAUAAAGUGGUUGAAACUGUGGAUGUGCGGUUCGAUGAAACUAACGGCUCGCAAAGAGAGCACCUUCCAAAUGUGCUAGAUGAAGUACCUCCAAGUGAAUCAAUCAAGCAGAUGGGAAUUGGAGAGAUCAUACUGUAAGUGCAUCUAGUGCCACCCCUAGUUGGUUUUGGAGUAUUGACGACAAAGUUGGUUGAGGGACUAAUGCGUUUGUGAGAAUUGCAGGAUAACGCAGGUAGUGUCCCUCAUUGAUUCGGUUUACCUACCAGAGAUGACCCCUAAAAAAUGUAUGAAGACAUUGAAGACAAUGGUGGUAUGUGAAGAUAUUCACAUUGAAGACUAUGACACGAGAAGACAUUGAGUGAAGACUAUGGAGCGCGAAGACUGUGUCAUUUCGUUGUUUCCUUUUCUUCUUUGUUGAGUCAUAGGAACCACCGUACUGAUAAGUGGGGUCCAAGUGAACAAAGUCAGAAUGACUGAAGUGAUGCUCAACCCAAAUCCUAUGUCUUCGAGCGAAGACAAUGAGAGCAAAUCUUAUCCAGAGCUGGAUGAGUCAGCUUUGCUUGUAGCCCAAGUAAAGUUGCCGUGUGUGUUUGAAAUCUGACCGUUGGAACAUGUGUCAGUUCCUUAGUGACCCAGGGUCAUUUCGGACAUAUUAGGUCGGGUUGCCUUGUGGCUAUAAAUAGCCCACCCCCUACACCAUAAAUUGGUGGCUGCUCAGAGUUAGUUUACAGCUUUUGUCGUUUUGAGAGCAACCCACCUCGAAGCCUUUGAGAGAGAAAUCCUUGCGAGGACAAAGCCCAAACACCCAGAGCCCAAGAGUGUUAGGCAUCACUGAAGUCUUUCUGUCUGUGUGACCUGAAGACUUAUUACACUUGAGAACUGUGUAUCCUCCAGCUGGUUAGGCGUCGCAUUCUGAGCAUCCAAGAGUCAUUGUGGAUCGCCGGUGAAUGAAGUCUGUGAAGGUUCAGAAGUCUACCUUGAAGACUUACCAGAGUGAUUGGGCGAGGACUGUGUGUCCUUAGCUCAAGGGGAAUAAGGUGAAGACACGGUCUUCUGAGUUGAAUCUCAGCCUCCCUAACCAGACGUACAGUUUUCACAGCAAUUGGAACUGUCCAACAAAUCCUGUGUCUUCAACAAGUGACUGGUUCUAUCUCUUCCCUCCCUUUACUUUGAGUCUGUCUUCGUGAAGUCAUUGCUUAUUUGUCUUAUCUGUUUGACUUCAUUGCUUGACUACUAUCGUUGAUUGGCUUCAUACUAUCUUCCAUCCUGAUCCUUACUACCUAGCUGCUAUUAGUCUUUGUACGUUCACAUUAUUGCAUACUUGACUAUGGCUUGCUUGUUGUAGUUUAUCUUCCGCUGCAUAUCAAUUAGGUCAUUUCUAUUGUUUGUCUUUGAAACUUCCACGUUUUGAAGACUUUGAUAGAAAUCGCCUAUUCACCCCCCUUCUAGUCGAUAACUAGCACUUUCAAUUGGUAUCAGAGCAAGGUACUCCCUUGUUCUAUGUGAUUCGGUUUAACCACCUGGAGUUUAGCUAUGUCGACUGCAGGGAUAAUCAAAGUCUCCGCUGCUUGCCCCGUGUUUGAUGGAACCGAAUAUCCCUACUGGAAGAAUAAGAUGCGCAUGCAUCUUGAAGCCAUUGAUGUCGACCUCUGGUAUGUCGUCAAGAACAGCGUUCCCAAAACUGGUGAAGGUGUCACCCCUACUGAUGUCAAGAAGUUCAUUCAACUAGACUCCACUGCAAAGAACAUCAUCUGUGGUCAUCUGACCAAAGGACAGUAUGGCCAUGUGAGUGCUCUGGAAACGUCAAAGCUAGUCUGGGACUGGCUAUCCAAGGUCAACGAAGGCGUCUCUACACAGAGAGACCAGAGGAUCAGUGUUCUUCGCAAUAUCUUCAACCGCUUCAAGAGAAAUGACAAUGAAAAUGUCCAGCUCACGUUUGAUCGCCUCACCGACAUCACAAAUGAGCUUCAGGCUCUUGGCGCCAUUGAGAUUACCAAGCAUGAAAUCGUCAAGACACUACUGAGAUCACUUGACAGCUCCUUUGACACCCUUGCCCUCAUGAUACAAGAAUGCCCUGACUUCAAGACACUCGAUCCGUCUGAUAUACUUGAGAGGCUCAACACACAUAAGUUCCAGCUUUCUGAGAAAAGAGAUAUCUAUGGUCCCAAUUAUGGCCGAACUCGUGCUUUGAAGGCAAAAGUGGUUUCCUCAUCUGAAGAAGAAUCUGACUAUGGUUCUGAUGAUCCUGAAGACAUUGGAAGGGAACUUGCCAUGCUUGUGAAGAAGUUCCAGAAGUUCACCAAGAAGAAGGGCUUCAUAAAGUCUUCACGAUCUAGCUCAAGAAAUGAUGAAGCUUCCACUCAUGACAACAAGAAGAGAACAUGUCACAAGUGCAAGAAACCUGGACACUAUAUCUCUGAGUGUCCUUAGUGGGACAAUGAGAAGAAGAAGAAAAAGAGCAAGGAAUAUGAUUCUGAUGACAAGAAGUAGAAGAAAUCUUCAAAGUCUUCUUCUAAGUCCUCAUCAAGGUCUUCAUCACAUAAGAAGAGCUUAUCUGGCAAGGCUCGUGCUUUUGUUGGCAAGGAAAUGGAUUCAGAGGAGGAGUCUGCUUCUGAGGAGGUGGAGGUGGAGUCUGAAGAAGAGUCCGACCCUGGCGUUGCAAGUCUGGCUCUAGCCACAGCCUAUGUUGCCAAGUCCAUCUUCAACACUGAAGACAAUGACUUCCACACCAACGCUGAAGCUGAUGACAUGGACGACCCUACUCCCACCUACUGCUUCAUGGCACGUGGUGCCAAGGUAAAAUCACGUGAUGCUUACUUUCAAACAUCAAGUGAAGAUGACUCUGAUUGUGAAUCCAAACCCAGCUACAAAACACUUGCUAAAAUUGCUACUGAACAACAAAGGGCCAUGGAACAUACUCAAAAACUGUUAGACAAAAGCGAUGACCUGUUGGACGCGGAAAUGACACGUUCACAGUCCUUAGUAGAAGACAUAAAAAAUCUUCAUGCUAAGUACCAAGAACUUGAAAGUCUUCAUAAGACGCUCUCAACCACUUAUGAAAAGCUCUCCUAUGAUUAUCUUCAAAGGAAGCAAGAGCUUGAGAAAUUGAAAGCGACUCAUGAAGAUCUUCAAAAAGAGAAUGAGUCAUUUCGCGCUCAACAGAUCAGUUCCGCUCAGGAUGGAUUUGAACCACCAUGUUUAAAAUGCAUUGAGCGUGAUAACGCUACCUCUGUUGCUGAAUGUUCCAAUGCCGCUGCUGUUGCAUUUUCUUCAACUACUGAUGUGGAAACUAACCCCUCUACGGAGGAUACCACUGCUAUUGCUGAUGAAAAUGCUAGGUUGAAGACAUUGCUUGAAACAGGGAUGUAUAAAAGUCUGAAAGGACAUCAGACACUUUGUGAUGUCCUCAAAAAGCAGAUUCUGAACCGAAACCCUAGGAAAGAGGGUUUGGGUUCGAGAGGAAAAUGAAUGCUGAUGGUACCUACUGGAAGCCUGAGCAGUAUCCCAAAACCACAUGGGUUGCUGCAAAGGAACCUUCAGUGGAUCCAUCCACUUUAUCUGGCUUUACCUGUGCUAAUCCUAUUAUCAUUGAUGAAUCCUUUGAUGCAAACUAUAAAUUGUUCAAAAAUUAUAAUGGUGAAGUGUUUGCCAGGUAUAUUGGUACUAACUGCAGGAAUGGACCACCUAUGAAGAAGAUCUGGGUUCCCAAAAGUUGUCUUGAGAAUUUUCCAGUGAAUGUCAUCAUGACACCACUAAGGAAGAAGACAAACCCCAGACCAAAGGCAUCAUAUGGUCCAACGGCUUCAUACGAAAACAGGACUCACUUGAGUCACCCUAACGCCAAUGUUUUGCAGGGAAAUCGUACUCAAACUUAUGAAUAUGAACGUGUGUCCUCAAACCACUAUGUUCAUAGGACUAAGGACUUUUCUGCUUAUUCAUAUGAGUAUCAUUCAUCUCCUGCAAGGCUAUUUGCUAGGGCUUCAAAGCCGAAAUUCUCAGAUGCUGCACUUAGACUCAUUGCUUCUAAGCCACCCCUAAAGAUGUGGGUGGUGAAGAAGAAUUAACUCUCUGUUGCAGAAUAUGGUCUCUAGCCAGCAAUCAAAGGCGUCCGAUACUAUUGCUGGGGACCUAAAACACAUUAAGGGACGCAUGAUAAAAUGACUUACUAUGUAUUCCACAUAUGAAUCGCUUACCUGUCAUACUGUGGUUCUAACCUUGAUCUAAGCUGUGAUAAUCCUAGUGUGCGUCAAAUGCUUAUGCUUCACAACAUACCUUGUGAAGCCUAUCCUCCUAACUGAACUGUAGGGUAUGACACCUCAUGCUUCAGAAUGGACUAUGGACAGCGGAUGCACUAAUCAUAUGACUGGUGAUCGAAGUCUUCUCAUGGACUCAACCUUACGUCCAUCCGACAAGAGUCAAAUCACAUUUGCUGACACUGGUAAAAGCAAGGUAUUGGGUCUAGGUAGAGUUGCAAUCUCAAAGGAUCAACACAUGGAUAAAGUGAUGCUUGUUGAAUCCCUUGGGUUCAACUUAAUGUCUGUCUCAAUGCUUUGUGACUUAAACAUGAUUGUGCUAUUCGGAAAAUAUCGCUGCCUUGUACUAAUGGAAUCUGACAAGUCUCUAGUCUUUGAAGGGUAUAGGAAAGAUGAUCUAUACAUGGUAGAUUUCUCAGCAGGUCCACAGCUUGCCGUAUGUCUUCUUGCAAAAGCUUCAGAAUGCUGGCUCUGGCAUCGGAGGCUGGGGCACGCUGGCAUGAGGAACUUACACACACUCGUCAAGAAGAAGCAUGUCAUAGGCAUCGAAGGUGUCAAGUUCAAGAAAGAUCAUUUGUGUGGUGCCUGCGAAGCUGGAAAGAUGACUAGGGCGAAGUACCCCUCGAAGACAAUCAUGACGACAUCUCAACCCUUCGAGCUGUUACACAUGGACUUAUUUGGCCCUACUCACUACUCUACCCUCACAACAAUAGCUUGUCUCUAUGGCUUCGUCGUUGUUGAUGACUACUCAAGAUAUACAUGGGUGCACAUAAUUCUCUACAAGACUGAAGUGCAAGGUGUCUUUAGACGAUUCGCCAAUCGAGCCAUGAACAAUUAUGGCGUCAAGAUCAAGCAUAUCAGAAGUGAUAACGGCACUGAAUUCAAGAAUAUCGGGCUUGAUCUUUAUCUAGAUACAAUGGGAAUCACUCAUGAGUUUUCUGCUCCAUACACACCUCAGCAAAAGAAUGGCAUCUUCAUAUCUCAAGAAAAUAUCUCAAAGACUGUCUAAAGAAGUUUGGAAUGCAAGAUUGCAAAGGAUACACGAUGCCAAUGCCAGCCAAACACCAUCUUGGUCCCGACGACAAUGGUAAAGAGUUCGAUCAAAAGGUAUACCGUUCCAUGAUUGGUUCUUUACUUUACCUAUGUGCAUCUAGGCCAGAUAUUAUGCUUAGUGUUUGCAUGUGUGCUCGAUUCCAAUCGACACCAAAGGAAUCGCAUCACUUAGCUGUGAAGCGAAUUCUUAGAUAUUUGGCUUACACCCCAACACUCGGAUUAUGGUAUCCAAAGGGCUCAAGAUUUGAUCUGGUUGGAUUCUCGGAUGCUGAUUAUGCUGGUGACAAGGUCGAUCGCAAGUCUACAUCAGGCACAUGUCACUUUCUGGGACGAUCACUUGUCUGUUGGUCUUCAAAGAAGCAAAACUGUGUAUCACUAUCAACUGCUGAAUCUGAAUAUAUUGCUACUGGAUCUUGCUGCGCUCAGCUUUUAUGGAUGAAGCAAACUCUCAAGGACUAUGGCAUCAAUCUGAAACAAGUCCCUCUCUUCUGCGACAACGAAAGCGCUAUCAAGAUUGCCAACAAUCCAGUCCAGCACUCGAAGACAAAGCACAUUGAAAUUCGUCAUCAUUUUCUCAGAGAUCAUGUCAUGAAAAAAGAUAUUGACAUCAUUCACGUCAACACUGAAGAGCAACUGGCAGAUAUCUUCACAAAGCCCUUGGAUGAGAAAAGGUUUUGCAAGUUAUGGUGUGAGCUAAAUAUCUUGGAAUCCUCAAAUGUCCUGUAAUCAGGCACACAUCCUAAGACUUAUGCAUGUUGAUGACUUAGAUGUGCAACACACGAAGUAAAGUAUAUCUUCAAUCAAUGAAGACUUACAUUCUGAGUGUGAAUACAUUAACAUGGAAUUUGACUUCGGAGCGCCACGAUAAUUGUGCGCCGUGUCUGGGUCUAAUACUUCCAAUACGGUGGGUAACGCCACCACCAAAUUUCUUGGUUCGAAGUGUUUCACUCAUGGCGUUAUUGUUGAAUAUAUUCGCAUUUGGUUUGUCUUCAACUUUCAACUUAUCUUCAUGAUUUACUUCACUAUGUCGAUUUGAUUGCUUUCUCAUAUAUAUAUAUAUAUAUAUAUAUAUAUAUAUAUAUAUAUAUAUAUAUAUACUAGUAUUCUGUCCUCUACAGCAUUCACUUAUAGCUAUGUCUUCAUUUGUGAAUCUUUUGAACUAAGUGAAUGUGAUCGGACCCUAAUCUCUCUAUGGUUUCUAUCUCAAACUCUAUCUGUCCAAAUCAUAUGCAUUCUAUUGAAACUGUCAAAUGUCUUCUCUGCAUCCUUGUCAGCAGAAGACACCGAGACAAACAUCAAGUCCUUUUUAAAUGAUUCAUCUUUAUUGUUGAAAUCCGGAGAAGCCGGAACAACCAUCCGACAAACUUGGCAGGCGUGGGAACAUGGGACAACUCUGAGUAUGUUGCAUGCUUGCCACGUGUCCCACGGAUGUGAACAGGCAGGGGCACCUACGUAAUUGCGCUAUGCCGCACACCUACUUAUAAAUAUGUGUCCCCUGCGGUCAAGAAAACCUUCUUCCACCUUUCCACCUCGUCAAAACCCUAGCGCCACCGCUAGCUCUCAACGACGCCGGUGACGAAGCGCUUAGCUGUCGCAACUUCUCCGACGCCGUCCUCACGCCGGCCGCGGACAUCGUCCUCUCCGCCGCCGCCGUAGGUGUCCUCCGUCGCCAAGUUAGGGCAUGGUGGAUUGAACUGCUCGGUCUCCUAUUCAUCCCAUCUAGCAGUUCUUCGUGUGGUAAAUAUAACUCUAUUUUUACCAUCUUUUUGAUCCUCAAUGAUUCAUCCUAUUUACCAAAAUUGGUUUCUGUCUACACAAUGUUAGAUCUAUUCUGUCUGCAUCUCAUACUGCCUAGUAUAUUCACUUAAGCUUCAUAUAUAGUUAGAUUCCUCACUUGUACUUAUUCACGGAUUCGUACAAAUCUGGAACCAACUCUCAACAUAUAAGUGAAUGUCUUCGCAACAUGAGGUCAAUGUCUUCAAACUGAUUUAUCUUCAAAAUCUUCUGAGAAUGCAUAUGACCUCUUUCCCUUCCCUCGCAUCUCUAAUGUUGUCACAGGUACAUGUCCGUGGGAGAAUACCUUGGUUCUCAUAGUCUGCAUUCGUUUGCAGAAUUCUUACAGCAACACAUUAACUCUCCUGAAGCUAGUUCCUGUUUGACCAGCAAGUGAAAGCCCUUGAAGCCAUUGAACAUAUUGAAGUCAUUCAGUUUGAAGUUCAUGGCUAUAGAGAAGUUAGUAAGGAAGGGUGGCAGACAACGUCGAGGAGGAACAUCAAAAGAUUUGCCUGAUGACCUCGCAGAACUUUACAAGACAGAUCCUGAAGAGAAUUAUCAUCAGCGCAAGACAAGGAUCCAAUAGAUUCGACGAUAUUGGGCUGAACAAUGGUUCAAAUACAAGUUCGUGACCUAGGAAUAUGCUGAGAAGAAUGCUAUCAAAAGUCCUUGGGGUGAUAUUCUCUAUCGAGGCCUCCAACCCAAGAACAGAGCUGAAGCUAUUGCAGAGGGUUUCUAUCCCUGUAUGGUCCGUGGACCUCAGCCUGAAAAUGCCAACUCAACAUCAUUGCUCUGGUGUCGUGACGACAAUCUCUUCAAGCGUAACUUUCAGCACGCAAAGGCAUCGGCCAAAGAAAAAAAGAAGUCAUUGGGAUUAGACUUCAAUCCUGGUCCUUCUGCUCCCCGUGCUAACGUCUCAUGUGAUGCAGAACCCAAUGUCAUCGGCCCCUUCUCCAACCUUGAUGGCCUCAUCACUUACAUCUUGGUCCAAGGUGCCAAAGUGGAUUAUUCUGAUAAUGAUGCUGAUACUGAUGAAGCCCCAGCUCCUCCUCCAAGGCCGCAGAAGCCCAAGAAAACUAAGGCUUCAUCAUCAGUUGCACCUCCAAGAGCUUCUCGUGUGAAGCCACUAGCCACUGCACCUCCUGAAUACAGUGUGCAGUCUGAAGAUCUUUCAUGCAUCUCCAAGAAGACGGAGAAGAAAAAGACAACCAUCAAGAGUACUGAUCAGACAUUGACUCCUGCUGCCAUUCUACGAGAAGAGCACAUUGAUCUGUCCAGCGAUGAAGAUCUUGCAGAUGAUGCCCUUGAGCAACUGAUCAAGUGCAAGGAAGAAGCAGAGAUCUUCAAUAAUUUGCCUCUCUUUGAUGUGGCAAUCAUCCAUAACUUCAUUGAUGAGUGGUUUGACACCCCAAAUCUCAGCUUUGAUGAUCUGCAACUUCCCAUUGGCCUCAGCGUCUCCUUCAAUGGUGACAUUGCUUCUGAGCUAGCUCUUGCUCAGUGCAUCGUUGAACUGAAGCACAAAAUCGACUAUGAGAAGGCUCAGUUCAAGAAGCACGUGGCCAAGCUCAGCGUGCAAGAUGUCAAAAACUUCAAGAUCAUGCUGCACGAGCUCAAAGAAGCCUUUCAUAAGAAGCGUGAAGAAGCUCAAGGCUCUCGUGAGCGUAUGAAGAGUCUGGCUGACAAGUGUGUGCUAGCCUACAAUGAGGCUGAGAAGUGUAAGUUUCUUGGUCGUCCUAGCAUUGACCCAAGAAUGGCUGCAAAGAAGAAGAAGUUAUCAACUGCCCAAUCUGCACCUUCAAGGCAGGAAGAACCUCGCAUAGUCUUCCCAAGCAGCAUGACUGGCUUGAAGCCAAAGGUCAUGUCAACCGCUUCAGAACUGAAGAAGACGAGGGCUGCAGAGGCUAAAGCCAGAAAACGGAAACCCUCAGAAGCCUCUGAUGCUGCUCCCUCCAAGAAGAAGCGCAAACCCAAGAAGAAUCGGGUUGCUCCCAUAGAGCCCUUGGUUGUUGAACCUAUCUCAAUGGUGCGUCCUGCAUCUGAACACCACGAACAACAGCUGAUAGUUCAUGAGCCUACUUCCACAGAGGCUUAUGAAGCUGAAGACAUUCCAGCAGUUGAUCCCAUCGCUGCUGAAGACAUUGGUCACCAUGACAAUGUUGAAGAUGAUGAAGUUCUUCCUCAAAUCGAACACAACUUGGUAUCAUCGUCUGUUCUCACGAACAACGAACUCAUCAGCAUUGGUCGUCCUCUGACGCCAAUUGCUCAGGAUGCAUCAUGGGCUGAUCACCCACAGCAACAAGACUCCUCGAGUACUCCCCAACAACAACGACCACAAUCACACCACCUGUGCAAGAAGAACAAGAAGACUUUGAGGCCCAGCCAACUCCAUCUCCAAAGGCGUCGCUAGCUUUUCGCAGGCUUCGCAAAGGACAAAGGCCUCAGGUCCCUCUUUCGAGCAUUCCAGAAGGAGAAGUGCACCACUCAUCUGUUGCACGUCAAGUGUUUCCAGAAGCCACUCCGACUGCGAAUGUCUCCGUGUCUGAAGCCCAAGCUGCUGAAGACAAUCUGGCUACAUCAGCCGAUAACAAUCAAGAAGACGUACGUGUCCCCACUCCCCCCAAUACUGAAGAAGAUGUUCCUGAUGUGAACAUGCCAGUGCCCGACCCUCUAGCUCAUCAAGUGGAGGUUGAAAAUCUUGAGGCUGCCACCACCAACACAAAUGAAGCCAAUGACAUAGUCAUGGCUGAAGCUAAUAUGGAGCCUGCCCCAAGCAACAUGCCAGAAGUCAAUGCUGCAACCGCUCCUGAAGCUUCUAUUGUGCAGCCUGAAGCCACUCUUGCUGCCACUGCUCCUGUUCCGCCACCAAGGCCCUAUACAAUUGAGCAAGCAUACAACCAUGGCGAGCUAAUCACGGUAAGAUGGCCCAUUCUGGUCCUCCGCCUAAUGUCUCUGGUCCUCAGUUUGAUUAUCACAUUGAGCAUAGGCCUCAGGUCCAGAAACCAAAGCCAAGACUGCCAAGGUUUCCAAGCACUGCCACAUCUGUCGGGUCUUCCAAUGCAAAUGGCUUCAAAAGCCACAACACCUUCUUUGACAGCUCAAAGAACCCUUACUCAAAGCCAAGAAUAUCAUCUGAUCGUUUCUGGAGUCAUCAGCAACGAAGCUAUUACUCCUGUGUUCUGUAUGAUUAAGGGCGCAUAUUCCCUCAUAUGCGCCUCGACACUGAAGCCAUUGCUGGACUGCCAUGCUUAGAAGAAGCACUUGACUUCUUUCGUGAUGCGGGUCUGCUCAGCUUUGUGACAGACAAAGAACAUUGGAAUGAAAAACUUUUGCUUCAAUUCUAUGCUACCCUCCACAUUCGCGGCUACAACAGGGAUACAAAAACAUGGAUUCUCGAGUGGAUGACCGGAAAUGUUCAUCAUGAAGCCAAAGCUCUUGACAUCAUUGAGCUUACAGGCCUAUCCACUCCCGGAGAGCUGUACGAACCUGGUUGUCAAAACCACCGCAAUGCUUUGGAGAGCAUCUUCCAUAAGCCAGAACCCAACAUGAGCCAGAUGUUGAGCAUGAUGAAGCCAUUGCCACAUGACGCUGAAUACCCAAAGGAGUUCUUUGUUGAUGACUUUGAGUAUCUGCCAUGCACCAUAUAUCAUAUCAUCAGGCGGACUCUAUGGCCUAUCAAAGGACAUUCAUCAGCUGCAAAACUUGAAGGAGACAUGAAGACAUUGGUCUUUUACAUCCUCAAUGGCAUCAGCUUUAAUGCACAAGAUUUCUUCCUCCCGCAACUUGCUGCAUCUGGAUAUGACCUUUUUGGCCUGAAAUUCUAUGCUCCAUGGGUCAUGCGCCUCAUCAAGCUACAUUCUGCUAUCAACUAUCAGCCUUUUGCUCGCAAUCAUGUGAUCUUUCUACCAGAGGUUGAUAUGUCAGUUGAAGCCAUAUACCCUGAGCCUGCCAAGAAGCCUCUUUGUCUUCAAAAUGUUGAACACCAAAGCUUCACUCAGCCCAUGGAAGGAGUCCAAGCAGUAACUCAUAUCUAUCCGAUGGCUGGAAACACUCAUCUGCCUCAUCGUGCGCCAACUGAAGCUACUGAGAGCACAAUUGCUCAAAGGCCAAAGAAGCGCUCUCGGGUCCUAAAUGACCGAGAGCUUCUUGUGGCUCUGCAUCAGAAACAAGAUAAGCAUCACUUUUGGCUCAAGCGUCAGAUGCAAAGUCUCUUGGUGGAUGUAAACCGCAUUCGAAAUCUUGCCACUAAGAAUGCAUUUGUCACUCACGAGACCUGUCGGCGAUCAUGGAAGAGUUUGACGUUGCUUAGUGCUAAAGAAGAUCUUCAAGACGAUGGCUUCACUGAAAGAUUCAAGUUUGUCCACUCCUCCACGGAAUGCUGUCCUACGUCGAACCCCAUCUCUUGAAGACUCUGACUAUUCUUCCUCCGCGGCAACUGUGAAUGCCAGAGUGAUCGAUGAUGAAGACGAUGCUACUUCACCACCCCCUACUUCUGCAUGCAUCGACACUGCACCAAGUACGUCUGCACUGCCAAACAACAACGACAACCCUGAUGCUUCUCCUACUCAUGAGAACGAGUAGAUGCUCUAUGUCUUCAAACCUUUUUGGUCAUUACUGACAAAAGGGGGAGAAGUGUAUGAGUUGAUAGUCUUCAAGCAGGUUCAUAUGGGCGGUUGCUUUAUAUUUUGCCUAGUGCUUACAACUCUUGCUUUUGAUACAUUUCGUUCUUUGAGUUGUAACACUUAAACUCGAUGGUCAUCUGCUACUUAUUUGCUUUUCCUUGUGUGAUGAUAACUUCCGCACUUAAAUCAUUCUACAGACAUCCAUUUUUCAUUAUGCAUGUCAUUCUCUUAGUUAUAUCAUUUCAUGCAUGAUGAAUUAUCUUCAUAAGUUGAAGAGGAUCUCCACAAGUACAACCUGCCAUGUGCAUUUGCAUUCCAAAAGCAAAUUACUUAUAUGCACAUCUUCAGGGGGAGCCUUUACCACUUAUGAAGACAAUACCCUAUCCUUUAGAAUUUCACAUACUUUAUCCCCAUUGAAAACUUCAACCAGUUUGUCAUCAAUCACCAAAAAGGGGAAGAUUGUAAGUGCAUCUAGUGCCACCCCUAGUUGGUUUUGGAGUAUUGACGACAAAGUUGGUUGAGGGACUAAUGCGUUUGUGAGAAUUGCAGGAUAACGCAGGUAGUGUCCCUCAUUGAUUCGGUUUACCUACCGGAGAUGACCCCUAAAAAUGUAUGAAGACAUUGAAGACAAUGGUGGUAUGUGAAGAUAUUCACAUUGAAGACUAUGACACGAGAAGACAUUGAGUGAAGACUAUGGAGCGCGAAGACUAUGUCGUUUCGUUGUUUCCUUUUCUUCUUUGUUGAGUCAUAGGAACCACCGUACUGAUAAGUGGGGUCCAAGUGAACAAAGUCAGAAUGACUGAAGUGAUGCUCAACCCAAAUCCUAUGUCUUCGAGCGAAGACAAUGAGAGCAAAUCUUAUCCAGAGUUGGAUGAGUCAGCUUUGCUUGUAGCCCAAGUAAAGUUGUCGUGUGUGUUUGAAAUCUGACUGUUGGAACACGUGUCAGUUCCUUAGUGACCCAGGGUCAUUUCGGACAUAUUAGGUCGGGUUGCCUUGUGGCUAUAAAUAGCCCACCCCCUACACCAUAAAUUGGUGGCUGCUCAGAGUUAGUUUACGGCUUUUGUCGUUUUGAGAGCAACCCACCUCGAAGCCUUUGAGAGAGAAAUCCUUGCGAGGACAAAGCCCAAACACCCAGAGCCCAAGAGUGUUAGGCAUCACUGAAGUCUUUCUGUCUGUGUGACCUGAAGACUUAUUACACUUGAGGACUGUGUAUCCUCCAGCCGGUUAGGCGUCGCGUUUUGAGCAUCCAAGAGUCAUUGUGGAUCGCCGGUGAACGAAGUCUGUGAAGGUUCGGAAGUCUACCUUGAAGACUUACCAGAGUGAUUGGGCGAGGAUUGUGUGUCCUUAGCUCAAGGGGAAUAAGGUGAAGACACUGUCUUCUGAGUUAAAUCUCAGCCUCCCUAACCAGACGUACAGUUAUCACAGCAACUGGAACUGGUCCAACAAAUCCUGUAUCUUCAACAAGUGACUGGUUCUAUCUCUUCCCUCCCUUUACUUUGAGUCUGUCUUCGUGAAGUCAUUGCUUAUUUGUCUUAUCUGUUUGACUUCAUUGCUUGACUACUAUCGUUGAUUGGCUUCAUACUAUCUUCCAUCCUGAUCCUUACUACCUAGCUGCUAUUAGUCUUUGUACGUUCACAUUAUUGCAUAUUUGACUAUGGCUUGCUUGUUGUAGUUUAUCUUCUGCUGCAUAUCAAUUAGGUCAUUUCUAUUGUUUGCCUUUGAAAUUUCCACGUUUUGAAGACUUUGAUAAAAAUCGCCUAUUCACCCCCCCCUCUAGUCGAUAACUAGCACUUUCACAUACCUUCUGAGAAUCAGACUGAAGAAGAGCUUAUCAUUUCUGCACCUAAUCAACCUGAAGACAAUGCUCAGCCUGAAGACAACCCCCAACUGAUGACAUUGAUCAGCAAGAGCAAAAUCUUUGUCCUGUUCAUCCUCGUGUUGCAAAUGAAGUUCAGAUUGAGAAGAUAAUUGACAGCUUGAAUGCACCCGGUCCACUCACUUGUUCAAAAGCAACUCAAAGAGCAACACAGCUAACUAAUUUCUGUGGGCAUUUUGCAUUCGUCUCAAUCUCUGAACCCAAGAAAGUCGAUGAAGCCUUCAUGGAACCUGAAUGCAUUCAAGCUAUGCAAGAAGAGCUUCAACAGUUCGAGCUGAAUAAUGUGUGGGAAUUGGUCAAGCGUCCUGAUCCUCGAAAGCACAAUAUCAUUAGCACCAAAUGGAUAUAUCGCAACAAGCAAGAUGAGCAUGGUCAAGUGGUCAGAAACAAGUCUCGUCUCGUUGCACAAGGUUACACUCAAGUGGAAGGAAUUGACUUCGAUGAAACAUUUGCUCCGGUGGCAAGGCUUGAAGCCAUUCGCAUACUGCUAGCCUAUGUAAAUCAUCACAACAUCCUUCUGUAUCAAAUGGAUGUGAAGAGUGCUUUUCUCAAUGGAAAUAUAGAAGAAGAAGUAUAUGUCGCACAACCUCUUGGCUUUGAAGAUCCAAAACAUCCUGAUAUGGUAUACAAGCUCAACAAGGCACUGUAUGGCCUCAAACAAGCCCCUCGUGCUUGGUAUGAUACGCUCAAAGACUUCCUGAAGAGCAAAGGCUUCAAACCUGGUUCAGUAGAUCCUACACUCUUCACGAAGACAUAUGAUGGUGAACUGUUUGUGUGCCAAAUCUACGUGGAUGACAUAAUCUUCGGCUGCACCAACAAGAAAUACAGUGAUGAGUUUGGUCACAUGAUGAAAGAGCAAUAUCAGAUGUCCAUGAUGGGCGAGCUGAAGUUCUUUCUGGGUCUCCAAAUCCGUCAGCAACGCAACGACAUCUUCAUAUCUCAAGAAAAAUAUGUCAAAGAUUGCCUGAAGAAGUUUGGAAUGCAAGACUGCAAAGGAUACACGACGCUAAUGCCAACCAAAAGUCAUCUGGGUCCCGAUGACAAUGGUAAAGAGUUUGAUCAAAAGGUAUACCGCUCCAUGAUUGGUUCUUUGCUUUAUUUAUGUGCAUCUAGGCCAGAUAUAAUGCUUAGUGUUUGCAUGUGUGCCCGAUUCCAAGCGGCACCAAAGGAAUUGCAUCACUUAGCUGUGAAGCGAAUUCUUCGAUAUUUGGCUUACACCACAACAUUAGGAUUAUGGUAUCCAAAGGGCUCAGAGUUUGAUUUAGUUGGAUUCUUAGAUGCUGAUUAUGCUGGUGACAAGGUUGAUCGCAAGUCCACAUCAGGCAUGUGUCACUUUCUGGGUCGAUCUCUUGUUUGUUGGUCUUCAAAGAAGCAGAACUAUGUAUCUCUCUCCACUGCUGAAUCCGAAUACAUUGCUGCUGGAUCUUGCUGUGCUCAGCUUCUCUGGAUGAAGCAAACUCUCAAGGACUAUGGUAUCCAUCUGAAGAAUGUGCCUCUCUACUGCGACAAUGAGAGUGCCAUCAAGAUUGCCAACAACCCAGUUCAGCACUCAAAGACAAAGCACAUUGAAAUUCGUCAUCACUUUCUCAGAGAUCAUGUUAUGAAGGAAGAUAUUGAUAUCAUUCAUGUCAAGACAGAAGAGCAGUUGGCUGAUAUCUUCACAAAGCCCUUGGAUGAGAAAAGGUUUUGCAAGUUGCGGUGUGAGCUAAAUAUCUUGGAAUACUCAAAUGUCCUGUGAUUAGGCACACAUCCUAACACUUAUGCAUUUUGAUGACUUAGAUGUGCAACACGCGAAGUAAUGUAUAUCUUCAAUCAAUGAAGACAUACACUCUAAGUGUGAAUACAUUAAUGCGGAAUUUGACUUCAAAGCGCCACGAUAAUUGUGCGCCGUGUCUGGGUCUAAUACUUCCUAUACGGUGGGUAACGCCACCACCAAACUUUUGUUUGAAGUGUUUCUCUUGGCGUCAUGUUUGCAAAGUCUUCAUAUUUGAUUUAUCUUCAUCCCUGGCUUAUAUUCAAGUUUAUCUUCAUUCAGUUGAUUUGGCCUUAUACUAGUUAUAUACAUAUUUGUGUUCUGUCCUCUACAACAUUCACUUAUAGCUAUGGCUUCGUGUUGAAUCUUUUGAACUAAGUGAAUGUGAUCGGACCCUAACCUAUCUAUGCUUCUACCUCAACUCUAUCUGUCCAAAUCAUAUGCAUUCUAUUGAACACUGUCGAUUGUCUUCACUGAGACCUUGUCAGCUAAAGUCUAUCUGACAAACAUUUAUAUCUGUUUUUAAUGCUAUAUCCUUUUGCCUGAAACCCGGAGAAUUCAGAACGACCAUCCCGACAAUCCAGGCGUGUGUGGGAACAUGGAACACCUUCCAAGGUGUUGCAUGCUUGCCACGUGCCCUUCAGAUGUGAACCGCCAGGGGCACCUGCGUAAUUGCAUUGUGCCGUCUCUUUCCUUAUAAAUACCCAUCACAUCUCGGUCAAAAAUUCUUCUUCCACCUCGCCACCUCUCGCAAACCCUAGUGCCUCCGCUAGCUCUCGACGACGCCGGUGACGAAGCGCUUAGCUGGCGCAACUUCUCCGACGCCGUCCUCACGCCGGCCGCGGACCUCGUCCUCUUUGCCGUCGCCGUAGGUGUCCUCCGUCGCCAAGUUAGGGCACGGAAGAUUGAACUGCUCGGCCUCCAACUUCGCUCCGUCUAGCAGUUCUUUGUGUGGUAAUUAAAAUUCACUUUUUACCAUCUUUUCGAUCUGAUAGAUUCAUCCUUCUUUACCAAAAAUGGUUUCUAGAUCUCCAAAGUUGAAUCUAUCUCAUUCUGCAUCUCAUACUCUGCCUAGUCUAUUCACUUAUGCUUCAUUACAAGUUAGAUUCCUCACUUGUACUUAUUCUUGGAUUUGUACAAAUCUGGAACCAACUCACAUCAAAUAAGUGAAUGUCUUCGCGUUAUGAGGUCAAUGUCUUCAAACUGAUUUAUCUUCAAAAUCUUCUGAGAAUGCAUAUGACCUCUUCCCCUUCCCUCGCACCUCUAAUGCUGUCACAGGUACAUGUCCGUGGGAGAAUCCCUUGGUUCUCAUAGUCUGCAUUCGUUUGCAGAAUUCUUACAGAGUCACUCAAUUCUCCUGAAGCCAGUUCUUCUCUGACCAGCCGUCUGAAGCCCUUGCAAGUACUGAAGCCUUUCAGAUUAAGUUUCAUGGCCACUGAGAAGUCAGCAAGAAAGGGUGGCAGACAUCGCCGUGGGAACACUUCCAAGGAUUUGCCUCCAGAUUUGCACGAGCUGUACAAAAUAGACCCCGAGGAAACCUAUACAUGACGCAAGAAUCGAAUCCAGUGGAUUCGAAGAUAUUGGGCAGAGGAAUGGUUCAAGUUCCAUUUCAUCACAGAGGAGUAUGCAGAGAAGAAUGCCAUCAAGGGACCCUGGGGAGAUAUUGUAUACAAAAAUCUUCAACCCCAGUCCCGUUCUGAAGCCAUUCAACGAGAAUUCUAUCCGUGCAUGGUUCGUGGACCGCAGCCAAAGAACGCUGACCCUUCUUCUCUGAUGUGGUGCCGUGAAGACCAUCUGUUCAAGCGCAACUACCAGUUCGCCAAAGACUCUGCUGGGAAGAACAAGAAGGCAUUAGGACUUGACUUCAACCCUGGUCCUUCUUCACCUCGGGAAGAUGGCACCCGUGAAGCCAAUGAGAAGAGGAUCGGCCCCUUCUACAACCUUGCAAGCCUCAUCACACACAUUGCUGUCCAAGGUGCAAAAGUGGAUCAUUCUGAUGAUGAUGCUGACACUGAUGAUGCUCCAGCUCCUCCUCCUAAGCCGCAGAAGCAAAAGAAAGCUAAGGCUUCAAAACCAACUGCUGCUCCAAAAGCUUCUCGAGUGAAGCCAUUGGCAACUGCCCCUCCUGCUCCCAGUAACACCUCUGAAGAUCUCUCUCGCAUCUCCAAGAAGCGCGAGAAGCCACAGAAGAAAACUGUUCAGAGAUUCAGUCAACCACUGACACCAGUUGCCGUUCUGAGGAACGAAUCUGAAGCCAUUGAUCUGUCUUCAGAUGAGGAGUUUGGUAACGAUGCUCUUGAGCAGCUGAUAAAAAGCAAGAAAGAGGCGGAGAUCUUCAAUGAUCUGCCCCUCUUCGAUGUGAACAUUUUGGACAAUUUCAUUAAUGAGUGGUUUGACAAUCAAGAUCUCAGUUUUGAUGAUCUUCAACUCCCCAUUGGCAUCAGUGUCGCCUUCCACGGCGCAAUUGCUCCUGAGCUGGCUCUGGCUCAGCGAAUUGUUGAAUUGAAGAACAAGAUUGACUUUGAGAAAGAGCAGUUCAAGAAGCAUGUGGCCAAGCUUAGUGUGGCUGAUGUCCAGAAAUUCAAGCUGAUGCUGAAUGACCUCAAGGAGGCGUUUUGUAAGAAACGCGAAGAAGCCAAAGGUUCAAGAGAGCGCAUGAAAAAACUUGCUGCCAAGUGUGUUCAAGCUUACAACGAAGCUGAGAAGCGCAAGGCUCUUGGGCGUCCUGGCAUUGGCCCCAAGAUGGCUGCCAAAAAGAAGAAGAAGUCUACCAUGGCCCCAACUGAACCUCCAAGGCGGGAAGAACCUCACAUUGUCUUCCCUGCCAGCAUGACAGGCUCGAAGCCUAAGGUCCCCACAAUGGCUUCAGAACAGAAGAAAACCAAGGCAGCUAAAGCCAAAGCCACAAAGCGCAAGCUCAAGAGCACCGCUGAUGAUGCACCAACCCCCAAGAAGAGAAAAACCAAGAAGAGAGAUCGGGCUGCUCCCAUAGAGCCCCUUGUUAUCAAGCCCAUUGCUUUUGCUCAUCCUGACCCUGAAAAUCAAGAGCGUCAGUUGAUAGUUCAUGAGUCUGCUUCCACAGAGGCUCCUGAAGCUGAAGUAGAUCCAGAUGUUGACCCCAUCACGGCUGAAGACAUUGGUCCCCAAGACGAUGUAUAAGAUGAUGAAGUCCUUCCUCAGAUUGAGCGCCCAACGGUAUCAUCGCCUGUUCUCAUGAACAGCGAGCUCAUCGGUAUUGGUCGUCCUUUGACGCCAAUCUCUCAAGAUGCCUCAUGGGCUGAUCGCCCCCAACCAGCAACUCCUAGUCAAGAUUCACCGAGUACACCCCGUCCUCCCCCAGCGCAAGUCACCAGUCCGUUGGUGAAUGGUGAUAAUUACAUGGAGACCACACCCUUGCCAAAGACAUCCCCCAUGUUUCAACGGCUUUGCAAAGGUUUAAGGCCAUCUGUCUCCAUGACUACCAUCACAAAAGAAGACUCAAACUAGUCCAACUCAGUGGCACGUCAAGUGUUCCCUGAAGAUAAUCCUUCUGUGAUAGUUCCAGUGUCUGAAGCUAAUGCUUCUGAAGACAAUCCGGCUGCAUUAGCCGAUGAAAGACAAGGAGAAGAAGAGUGUGUUGCUACUCCCCUACCACCCAAGAAGUUGUUCUCGAGGAGAACGUGUCUGUGCCCGACCCUCCAGCUACUCAAGUGGAGGUUGAGAAUCCUGAGGCUGCCACCAACAACACUACUGAAGCUAAUGACGUUGUCAUGGCUGAAGACAAUGUGGCGCCUGCAAUACGCACUGUGCAUGAAGCCAAUGAUGCACCUGCCACUAAUGUGCAGCCUUACGCCACUGUCAAUGCCUCUGCUCCUGUCCCGCCUCCAAGGCCUCAUACCAUUGAGCAAGCAUUCUAUCAAGGCGAGCUGGUCACAGUGAGAUGGCCAAUUCUGGUUCCUCCGCCUGCUCCCGGACCUCAAUUUGAUUAUCAUGUGGAGCACAGGCUAUAGGUUCAGAAGCCAAAGCCCAGAUUGCCACGGUUUCCAGGUACUGCAUCAGCACCAAGCUCAUUCAAUGUCAACGGCUUCAUUGCACACAACACCUUCUUCGAUAACGCCAAGAACCCAUAUUCCAAGCCAAGGAUAUCAUCUGAUCGGUUCUGGAGUUAUCAGCAGCGCAACUACUACUCCUGUAUUCUAUACAAUCAAGAGCGCAUAUUUCCUCAUAUGUGUCUGGAUUCUGAAGCCAUUGCUGGCCUGCACUGCUUAGAAGAAGUACUUGACUGUUUCUGAGAUGCAGGCCUGCUCCAGUUUGUUACUGAUAAGGAGCAUUGGAAUGAAGAGCUUCUACUACAAUUUUAUGCAACUCUCCACAUUCGUGGCUAUAACAGGGAUCCAACGACAUGGGUCCUUGAGUGGAUGACAUGCAGUGUCCAUCAUGAAGCCAAAGCCUUUGAUCUCAUUGAGCUUACUGGCCUGUCCACUACAGGCGAACUGUAUGAACCUGGUUGUCAGCUUCACCGCGAUGCAUUGGAGAGCAUCUUUCAUAAGCCAGAGCCCAACAUGAGCCAAAUGCUAAGUAUGAUGAAGCCACUGCCCCAGGAUGCCGAAUAUCCCAAGGAAUUCUUUGUUGAAGACCUAGAGUAUCUGCCCCGCACCAUCUAUCACAUCAUUAGGCGAACUCUAUGGUCCAUCAAAGGGCAUUCCUCCUCAGCAAAGAUUGAAGGCGCAAUGAAGACAUUGUUCUUCUAUAUUCUCACUGGCAAAAGCUUCAAUGCUCAGGAUUUCUUCAUUCGCCAAUUUGCUGCAUCUGGCUCUGACAUCUUUGGUCUGAAAUUCUAUGCUCCUUGGAUCAUGCGACUGAUCAAGCUUCACUCUGCUGUUGACUAUCAGCCCUCUGCGCGCAAUCAUCUCAUAUUUUUUCCCGAGGUUGACAUGUCCGUCGGAGCCAUCUACCCAGAGCUUGCCAAGGAAGCACUAUAUCUUCACAAUGCAGAUCGUCAGAGCUUUUCCCAGCAUGUUGAAGGUGUUCAGGUUGCUUCUCGUGUUUAUCCUCUGGCCGGCAACACUCGUCGUGCAUGCACUGAAGCCACAGAAAGCACUAUUGCUCCAAGGCCUCAGAAGCGAUCUCGUGUGCUCAAUGACCAAGAGCUUCUCGUGGCCUUGGAUCAGAAACAUGACAAGCAUCACUACUGGAUGAAGCGUCAAAUGCAAAGCCUCUUGGUGGAUGUCAAUCGCAUUCGCAAUCUUGCCACCAAGAAUGCCUUUGUCACUCAUGAAACCUGUCGGAGGUCCUGGAAGAGUCUGACAUUGCUAAGUGUUGAAGCUGAUCUUCAAGACGAUGGCUUCAUCGAAAGAUUCAAGUUCGACUCCGCUCCUCCCAGGAAUGUUGUCUUGCAUCGAACCCCGUCUCUUGAAGAUUCGGAGUACUCCUCCUCCGCAGCAACUGUAAAUGCCAGAGUCCUGGAUGACGCAGAUGAUGCUACCUCACCACCUCCAACCUCACCGCGUAUCAACACUACACCAAGUUCUUCUGCACCACCAAACCUCAACAACGACCCUGCUGCUUCACCUACUCCUCAUGGGAAUGAGUAGAGACAAUGUCUUCAAACCUUUUUGGUCCUUACUGACAAAAGGGGAGAAGCAUAUGUUGAUAGUCUUCAAGCGGGUCCAUAUGGGUGGUUGAUAUACUUUUUGCCUAGUGCUUACAACUCUCGCUUUUGAUACAUUUGGUUCUUUGAGUUGUAACACUUAAACUUGAUGGUCGUCUGCUACUUUUUCUGCUAUUUUGUGAUGCGAUGAUAAAUUCCGCAUGUGCGAUGAUAAAUUCCGCAUGAAGUCAUUUCGCAGACGUCCAUUUUUCAUUAUGCAUGUCAUUAUUCCUGUAUAUCUGUUCAUGCAUGAUGUAUUGUCUUCAUAUGGUGAAGAGGAUCUUUACAAGUACAACCUGCCAUGUGCAUUUGCAUACCAACGCAAAACAUUUAUAUGCACAUCUUCAGGGGGAGCCUUUUUACCAUCUAUGAAGACAAUAUCUCAAUCCUUUACAAUUUCACAUACUUUUAUCCCUGUUGAAAACUUCAACCAUUUUAUCAUCAAUCACCAAAAAGGGGGAGAUUGUAAGUGCAUCUAGUGCCACCCCUAGUUGGUUUUGGAGUAUUGACGACAAACCUGAUUUAGGGACUAAUGUGUUUGUGAGAAUUGCAGGAUAACACAGGUAGUAGUCCCUCAUUGAUUCGAUUUACCUACCGGAGAUGACCCCUAAAAAUGUGUGAAGACAUUGAAGACAAUGGUAGUCUGUGAAGCUAUUCACGUUGAAGACUAUGACAUGAGAAGAGACCGAGUGAAGACUAUGGAGCGCGAAGACUUAGUUGUUUUGUUGUUUCCUUUUCUUCUUUGUUGAGUCAUAGGAACCACCGCACUGUUAAGUGGGGUCCAAGUGAACAAAGUCAGAGUGACUGAAGUGAUGCUCAACCAAAUCCUAUGUCUUUGAGCGAAGACAAUGAGUGCAAAUCUUAUCCAGAGUCCGAUAAGUCAGCUUUACUUGUAGCCCAAGUCAAGCUGUCGCGUGUGUUUGAAAUCUGACCAUUGUGACACGUGUCAGUUUCUUAGUGACCCAUGGUCAUUUCGGAUAAAUCUGGUCGGGUUGCCCAGUGGCUAUAAAUAGCCCACCCCUUACACCAUAAAUUGGUGGCUGCUCAGAGUUAGUACACGGUAUUUGUCGUUUGAGAGCAACCCACCGCCGAAGCUUUCGAGAGAGAAUCCUUGCGUGGAUAAAGCCCAAACCACCCAGAGCCCAAAGAGUGUUUGGCAUCACUGAAGUCUUUCUGUCCGCGUGAUCUGAAGACUUGUUACACUUGAGGACUGUGAAUCCUCCAGCCGGUUAGGCGUCGCGUUCUGAGCAUCCAAGAGUCAUUGUGGAUUGCCGGUGAACGAAGUCUGUGAAGGUUCGGAAGUCUACCUUGAAGACUUACCAGAGUGAUUGUGCGGGGACUAGGUGUCCUUAGCUCAAGGGGAAUAAGGUGAAGACACGGUCUUCUGAGUUGAAUCUCAGCCUCCCUAACCAGACGUACAGUUGUCACGGCAACUGGAACUGGUCGAACAAAUCCCUGUUCUUUUAAAGCCACUGGUUUUAUCUCUUCUCUCUACUUAACAGUUUGUCUUUGUGAAGUCAUUGCCUGCUUGUAUUAUCUGUUUGACUUAACUGUGUGACUACCUAUUCUGAUUGGCUUCAUACUAUCUUCCAUUCUGAUCUUUACUACCUAGCUGCUAUUAGUCUUCGUGCUUUCACUUCAUUCAAUACUUGACUAUGGCUUGUCUAGUGUAGUCUACCUUCCGCUGCAUUCGAAUAGUGUUGUUUCUAUUGUUUGUCUUCGAAACUCUCAUGUUUUGAAGACUUUCAUAAAAAUUGCCUAUUCACGCCCCCCCCUCUAGUCGAUAACUAGCCCUUUCAGGUCGGAAGCUUUAUGUUUUGUUACUCUACAAGCCAAAUAUUCAUGUAAAUUUGGAGAGCACUAAAGAGAAAUCUUAGAUUAUAUUUUGGCAUUGAUGCAAGGGUAAAGAACUUAGGGUGUGUUUUGUUCUCUAACUAAACAUGCCCAGCCAGACAAUAGGAUUCUUGCUCACCCGAGGCAUAGCUCAUACGAGCAAGGCUACUUGUUUGGUUUAUUUGCCUAGCCUCCACUAAACCAUGAUCACAACGCCAAUUACUUGCUUAAUAGGCUUGUGCUCAAUUCUUGCCGAUGGAGGCGAGCCAAAUCGGCUCUCCUGUACAGGCGUGGAUUUUCUAGCCCAUGCAGGCCAGUUUGCUAGGCAAAGCUACCUUUUUCUACUACACCAAAUAUUUAUCCAGGCUGGGCGAGGCUAGAUUUAGGCUUGCUUGAGAUCCAAAUGCAUGCUUACUUGUUUGAUCUCCAUCACAUGGCUGCAUGUGUAGUGCAGAUUGUCGAGCAUUAUGAAUUUUUCCACCUGAAGAUGAAUAGAAAAACAUAUUAUACGUACAAAACUUUCAAACUAAAAAGAUGGACACUCAUUAGUAUGUUAAUACCUUAUCAUGAUAUCUCUCAUUAUGUUACACUAGGCAACAUGUAGUUCGGACACUAUGUCAAUUGUCAAGGCUCAUUGGGGCCAAGGGGGCCAAUGCCCCCUCCCCCAAUAUGUUUAUAAAUGUACAAGAUUAAUUAUGAUAUUUUGAGUUAGACAUCUACUGCAAUCAUAUGCUUCUGUAUCAACACUACAAGUCGCUUAGGCGUAUGUUUUGUUCUCCUAGCUGGAACCAACAAUCUCCCUGUAUAUGAAAGGGGACGAGGAGGCCGCCUCAAGUAGUGUGGUAGACAGUUCACUGAUGUUUUGCUCGUACUUGAUGGCCACCACAUAGUUUCCACUGCCAUAGUCAUAAGCCCAAUAACCAGUGCUUGGAGCGUGGUAAGGAAAAACAAAGCCAGUACAACAAUGAAAGUUGAUGCUGACUUCAUAAUUGUGAUAGUGUGACCUGAAAAAUGAUAGAUAAAACCCUUACAAAAAAUGUUAAGCAUAUAAGCACUUUUGACUUGAUUUGCAGUAUUCAGUUAUGCUAGACGAGAAAAGAGUUUCCUACUUCAGAGUCUUUUUAUUCCUAUAUUAAGGAUAAUGUGUGGGCCUAUACUGAAAUAAGAUGGUUGAUCCCAUAUAUGUAGACAAAUUUGAUCAAUAAAUACCCCCUUCGUAAGCUAAUAUAAAAGCGUUUAGAUCACUACUUUAAUGAUCUAAAAGCUCUUAUAUUUCUUUAGGGGGGAGUAUAUACCUAUACUUAUACCUAUACAUAUACACACUUGUUACUUAUUAAUUAUUAUUAUAUCAUAAUCAUCAUCAUCAUCAUCAUCAUUAUUAUUAUUAUUAUUAAUAAUAAUAUUAUUAUAGUAAUAGUAAAGCUAAGUGCAUUUUUCCAAUUUUUUAUCUGUUCACCCAUAUUAUUAUUUUGAGAAUUUUUCUUCUAUCCGAGGUGAUACUAUUUUUUGGUCCGCAUUUGGGGAAAAAGUUUUGUUGGAAAAAACGGCUUACUCCCACUUGGGCCACGUUUGCAGCUACGCACUUAUCUAUGGAAUUUCAGAAUGUGUUUUCUGAUUUCUUUUUUACCUUAUUUCAAAAAAAUUGUUUUACCCUUUUUUUAGAUGCCGAUCUUUUCAUUUUAUCAAUUCGAUUUUCUUAUACCGAGGCCUAAUAAACAAGUAAACAACGCUGGUCCAAGCCCAGUCAGUUUUCCGGUUCAGUCGUGCCCAGGCCCAGUCCUAGUGAGUGAGUUGGUGGCGGCGUCGGGCCUAUUUUGCUGUGGAGGCCGCAGCGUGGGAGAUCGAUCGAAUGGAGCUGCCAGCGGAGUCGCUCGUUUAGUCCCACAUCGCUUGCCGUGGGUGAAUCGGUGGCCAGCGAGAGGUAUAAGAGGGCAGCCAGGGCCAGCGGUGGAAGGCACGCAGCUGCGUGGUGACCACAAAGCGAACUAUUCUUUCGCCUUUUACUAAAGAAUACCGUGUGGGCGCCACAAUGAGCAGCAUACGAUAAUUUUUGAAGGGUCCUUCCCCAAAAGGGAGGGUCCCACAGUGCAAAUUUAAAUUUUAUUAGAGUGUUUUUGUAUAAUCGUGAGUGAACAUGCGAUCACGCGCAUCCACACUGCAUGUUCUCCCAUGAUUGCACCUGACAAGCGCAGUAAAAGGCAGGCGAGGGCAUUGAACCGAGGCAUGGGCUCUCACGCAUUAAACCAGUGAGCUGCCAACCCUUACACGACUUUCGUUGUAGCUCCAGAAUUUGUACUCAAUGGCCAGCAAAAAUUUCACAUUACCACUUUGUCACUUUACUUGUUUAUGAGUUUAUGAAGAUAACUAAACCGGAAUUUGUACUCAAUGGCCAGCAAUAAUUUGUUUAUUAUAAUAAAUGUUUUGGUAUUUGUACUACGAAGAUUACCGAACAAAAAUAUCAGUUAUUUCCCAACUGAACUUAUCAUCUUAAAGUUACUAAAAACAGUUCAAUACUAUUCAGAUUACUGUUCCUCACAAUAUGUUUAUUAUAAUGUUGCCUGCUCAGUUUCGCAUUAGGUAAUAUAUUAAUUAAUUUCAGCACUAUGAAUUAAUUAAAUAUUUUCCAAUGCCAUGUUUUACUCAUAUAAAAAGCUUCCUGAAGAAAUUUUUAUCGGAUUUUUUUAGUAAUUAUGAAAAGAUAAAACUUCCUGGCGAGGGGACCGGUGGCGCAGUAGGUUUUCCGAGUCGCCACCUCAUGAAGAGGGACGCAAGGGAAUGUUUCCAAGACAGGACUUUGCGAUAUCUCACACAAGGUUACUUCUAAUACAACACACAUAGUGUCUCGUUAGUAUUCACUUCGGUGAUCUAAGCAGCUUAGACACCACACUUGCACUUAAACUAUUGUUAUUUACUGCUUCACUAGCCUGCCCUGGUUGGGAUAACAGAGAACAGAACAUUAUCUGGCGAAACUCCACCGAUUAAAUGGUGCAGAUGCAUGGUGUUGGUGAAUUAAACUCCACCUCACCGACAUUUCACACCAGCCAUCUUAAAUGGUCUCAUCAAGAUACCGCCUCUCCCAGCCCAGCAACAUAGAGAAGUUAAUGAAUAAAAGUUUGGUCAUACUAUCCAAUUCAUUAAGAUGCCCAGCCACCAACUAAUAUACACGUAUUUGCCGAAUUAACCUACUUGUGGCGUUCAGGUAUUCAUUUAAUCACUAUAUUAAGUGCUAAUCCCACAGCAUGCAUGGACUGCCGAGAUUUCAUCCUCGCGUGGCACCAUGUCUCAAAAAUCCGCGUCCGUUUUUGUUCGGACUUAAACUCGGUGCUUCUCCCUUUGCACGGGUGAUGCAGUCCCAGCUUCCACUUCGACGUCUUGUAAGGGACGCUGGUUAGGUGAGCAAGGUGGACGGAGACCGCCAGAGCAUGUCCACUGGAACAUCGCCAGGUUAUCGAAAAAUAGAUGAGUUGAGUCAUCUAUUUUAAAACGGAGAGAGUAGAUGUUUGCCCAAGAAUUGAUCAAAUCAUAGACAAACAUGGCGCAAAACACACAUCUCCCCGUUUACUUCCACUAAAUUUGCCGGCAGGACACCUCAUUACAAUGCCACUAACCCACUACUACACGUUCAAGCCCAAAGCCACAACCAACUUUUCAGUACAAGGAGCAACAAAGCAAACCAAAGAAUCCAUCAUCACAACAGGGGGAAAUGGACUGGACUGACCAAGGGAUUCACCAUUCAGGUAGCCUCAGCAGACAUGAUCUCAAGCUCGGCCCACCACAGCGGCGACACCUUCGGGGUCGCGCCCUCGGGCCCCACCGCCGUGAUCUCCUUCAUCUGCGCCGCCACCUGCGCCAUCCGCGG
rnacentral:lncRNA from 1 species